AAUCCAUAGGUUAAUGAGGCGAACCGGGGGAACUGAAACAUCUAAGUACCCCGAGGAAAAGAAAUCAACCGAGAUUCCCCCAGUAGCGGCGAGCGAACGGGGAGGAGCCCAGAGCCUGAAUCAGCAUGUGUGUUAGUGGAAGCGUCUGGAAAGGCGCGCGAUACAGGGUGACAGCCCCGUACACAAAAGCGCAUGUGCUGUGAGCUCGAUGAGUAGGGCGGGACACGUGGUAUCCUGUCUGAAUAUGGGGGGACCAUCCUCCAAGGCUAAAUACUCCUGACUGACCGAUAGUGAACCAGUACCGUGAGGGAAAGGCGAAAAGAACCCCGGCGAGGGGAGUGAAAAAGAACCUGAAACCGUGUACGUACAAGCAGUGGGAGCACAGGUUUACCUGUGUGACUGCGUACCUUUUGUAUAAUGGGUCAGCGACUUAUAUUCUGUAGCAAGGUUAACCGAAUAGGGGAGCCGGAGGGAAACCGAGUCUUAAUUGGGCGUUAAGUUGCAGGGUAUAGACCCGAAACCCGGUGAUCUAGCCAUGGGCAGGUUGAAGGUUGGGUAACACUAAC
rnacentral:rRNA from 1 species